AGAUUGAACGCUGGCGGUAGGCCUAACACAUGCAAGUCGAACGGCAGCACAGGAGAGCUUGCUCUCUGGGUGGCGAGUGGCGGACGGGUGAGGAAUGCAUCGGAAUCUACCUUUUCGUGGGGGAUAACGUAGGGAAACUUACGCUAAUACCGCAUAAGACCUUCGGGUGAAAGCCGGGGACCUUCGGGCCUGGCGCGGAUAGAUGAGCCGAUGUCGGAUUAGCUUGUUGGCGGGGUAAAAGCCCACCAAGGCGACGAUCCGUAGCUGGUCUGAGAGGAUGAUCAGCCACACUGGAACUGAGACACGGUCCAGACUCCUACGGGAGGCAGCAGUGGGGAAUAUUGGACAAUGGGCGCAAGCCUGAUCCAGCCAUACCGCGUGGGUGAAGAAGGCCUUGGUUGUAAGUCCUUUGUUGGAAGAAUCCUGCGUUAAUAACAGUAGGAUGACGGUACCAAAGAUAAGCACCGACUAACUCGUAGCAGCAGCCGAGUA
rnacentral:rRNA from 1 species